CUUGUACUCCCUCCGUCUGGAAAUACUUGUCAUUGAAAUGGAUGUAUCUAGAUGUAUUUUAGUUCUAGACACAUCCAUUUUGAUGACAAGUAAUUCCGGAUGGAGGGAGUACUUG
rnacentral:pre_miRNA from 1 species